GGGAGAAUUGAUGAUGCCAAAUCCAUAGUUUCUUUCUGCACUCCAGAUGAUGAAUCAUCACAAUACAUGCACUACCAUCUGAUCUCCC
rfam:Musa acuminata subsp. malaccensis Doubled-haploid Pahang (DH-Pahang) genomic chromosome, chr2